rnacentral:rRNA from 1 species
AACGAACGCUGGCGGCAGGCCUAACACAUGCAAGUCGAGCGAGACCUUCGGGUCUAGCGGCGGACGGGUGAGUAACGCGUGGGAACGUGCCCUUUGCUACGGAAUAGCCCCGGGAAACUGGGAGUAAUACCGUAUGUGCCCUUCGGGGGAAAGAUUUAUCGGCAAAGGAUCGGCCCGCGUUGGAUUAGGUAGUUGGUGGGGUAAUGGCCUACCAAGCCGACGAUCCAUAGCUGGUUUGAGAGGAUGAUCAGCCACACUGGGACUGAGACACGGCCCAGACUCCUACGGGAGGCAGCAGUGGGGAAUCUUAGACAAUGGGGGAAACCCUGAUCUAGCCAUGCCGCGUGAGCGAUGAAGGCCUUAGGGUUGUAAAGCUCUUUCAGGUGGGAAGAUAAUGACGGUACCACCAGAAGAAGCCCCGGCUAACUCCGUGCCAGCCGCCGCAGUAAAAC